GACGAACGCUGGCGGCGUGCCUAAUACAUGCAAGUAGAACGCUGAAGGAGGAUCUUGCUUCUCUGGAUGAGUUGCGAACGGGUGAGUAACGCGUAGGUAACCUGCCUGGUAGCGGGGUAUCACUAUUGGAAACGAUAGCUAAUACCGCAUAAGAGUAGAUGUUGCAUGACAUUUGCUUAAAAGUUGCAAUUGCAUCACUACCAGAUGGCCCUGCGUUGUAUUAGCUAGUUGGUGGGGUAACGGCUCACCACGGCGACGAUACAUAGCCGACCUGAGAGGGGGAUAGGCGACACUGGGAGGGAGACAGGGACCAGACGACUAAGAGAGGGAGCAGGAGGGAAGCGUAGGCAAGGGAGGGAAGGCUGACCGAGAAACGCCGCGGGAGGGAAGAAGGGUGUCGGAUCGGAAAGAUCGGUUGUAAGAGAAGAACGAGGGUGAGAGUGGAAAGUGCACACUGUGACGGUAGCUGAUCAGAAAGGGACGGCUAACUACGUG
rnacentral:rRNA from 1 species